UGGGCCUCAUUCAUGAUUGUGGGUAUUCACUUGCUCCGUUCGCCUGCCAAAAACCCAAAGGGCCGUCCUGUUGGUCAUCUGGGGCACUGAGUCCCAGAGCUGGUGGGCAUUGGGUCAGCACUUGGCCUGGCCUAGCCAACCAUGGGAGCCUUCCUUAGACCUGUCCGCUCUCUGGGUGAAGAACCGUGGAGGGACUGGUUGAGAUGGUGGUCAGCCAGGUGACACCAGAGAUGACAGGAGCCAGCACGGCUGAGAAGAAAGAGCACUCAGGCAAAGGGAACUGCCCCACAAUGCCCAGGCUUAUGUGUUGGAGGAACAGAACUAAUGGCCACUGGGGCUGGAGCUGGGCCCCGCAGCUGCAGGGAGAGUUCUGAUGUUAUUUGAAGUGUAGAGGCAGUGGCUGGAGUAUCUUUUUUUUUUUUUAAUUGUGGUAAAAUACAUGUAACAAUCACCAUUUUUAAAAAUAUAUA